GACGAACGCUGGCGGCGCGCUUAACACAUGCAAGUCGAACGGAAAGGCCUGCUUUCCCUUGUGGAUUGCGGGUACUCGAGUGGCGAACGGGUGAGUAACACGUGAGUGAUCUGCCCCCAACUUGGGUAUAAGCCUGGGAAACUGGGUCUAAUUCCCGAUAGGACUGCAGGGUGGUGCCUGUGGUGGAAAACGAUUUUCUAGUGGUUGGGGAUGAGCUCGCGGCCUAUCAGCUUGUUGGUGGGGUAAUGGCCUACCAAGGCGGCGACGGGUAGCCGGCCUGGGAGGGUGGACGGCCACAUUGGGACUGAGAUACGGCCCAGACUCCUACGGGAGGCAGCAGUGGGGAAUAUUGCGCAAUGAGCGGAAGCCUGAUGCAGCGACGCCGCGUGGGGGAUGACGGCCUUCGGGUUGUAGACUCCUUUCGACCGCGAGGAAGCCACCUGGUUGGAAGGGUGGUGACGGUAGUGGUAGAAGAAGCACCGGCUAACUACGUG
rnacentral:rRNA from 1 species